GGAAGAGAUGUAUUUAUUAGAUAAAAAAUCAAUGUCUUCGGACUUUUUGAUGAUUCAUAAUAACUUUUCGAAUCGCAUGGCCUUGUGCUGGCGAUGGUUCAUUCAAAUUUCUGCCCUAUCAGGUUUCGAUGGUAGGAUAGUGGCCUACCAUGGUUUCAACGGGUAACGGGGAAUAAGGGUUCGAUUCCGGAGAGGGAGCCUGAGAAACGGCUACCACAUCCAAGGAAGGGGGCAGGCGCGCAAAUUACCCAAUCCUGACACAGGGAGGUAGUGACAAUAAAUAACGAUACAGGGCCCAUUCGGGUCUUGUAAUUGGUUUGAGUACAAUGUAAAUACCUUAACGAGGAACAAUUGGAGGGCAAGUCUGGUGCCAGCAGCCGCGGUAAUUCCAGCUCCAAUAGCGUAUAUUAAAGUUGUUGCAGUUAAAAAGCUCGUAGUUGAACUUUGGGCCUGGGUGGCCGGUCCGAUUUUUUCGUGUACUGGAAUGCACCCGGGCCUUUCCUUCUGGCUAACCCCAAGUCCUUGUGGCUUGGCGGCGAACCAGGACUUUUAC
rnacentral:rRNA from 1 species